rnacentral:misc_RNA from 1 species
UACGGAGGAUCCACGCGUUAUCCGGAAUUACUGGGCGUAAAGAGAUGCGCAGGCGGUUUGUUAAGCGAGAUGUGAAAUCCCGAAGCUCAACUUCGGGGCUGUAUCUCGAACUAAUAAACUAGAGAACAAGAGAGGUACCUGGAAUUCCUUGUGUAGGAGUGAAAUCCGUAGAUAUAAGGAGGAACACCAAUGGCGAAGGCAAGGUACUGGCUUGUUUCUGACGCUCAGGCUCGAAAGCUUGGGGAGCGAACGGG